rnacentral:rRNA from 1 species
AUUGAACGCUGGCGGCAGGCCUAACACAUGCAAGUCGAACGGUAGCACAGGAGAGCUUGCUCUCUGAUUCAGCGGCGGACGGGUGAGUAAUGCCUAGGAAUCUGCAUGAUAGUGGGGGACAACGUCUCGAAAGGAACGCUAAUACCGCAUACGUCUUACGGGAGAAAGCAGGGGACCUUCGGGCCUUGCGCUAUCAGAUGAUCCUAGUGCGGAUUAGCUAGUGGGUGGGGUAAAGGCUCACCUAGGCGACCAUCCGUAACUGGUCUGAGAGGAUGAUCAGUCACACUGGAACUGAGACACGGUCCAGACUCCUACGGGAGGCAGCAGUGGGGAAUAUUGGACAAUGGGCGAAAGCCUGAUCCAGCCAUGCCGCGUGUGUGAAGAAGGUCUUCGGAUUGUAAAGCACUUUAAGUUGGGAGGAAGGGCAGUAAGUUAAUACCUUGCUGUUUUGACGUUACCAACAGAAUAAGCACCGGCUAACUUCGUGCCAGCCGCCGCUGUAAGAC